UGUUCAGAAAACACCAGGUUUGAUCAUGGAGAGCUGGUUUAUCAUGCAUUGCAAUUGUUAGCAUAUACAGCCCUUGGUAUUUUAAUUAUGAGACUAAAACUCUUCUUGACACCACACAUGUGUGUUAUGGCAUCUUGAUCUGCUCAAGACAGCUAUUUGGAUGGCUCUUUUGCAAAGUACAUCCUGGUGCUGUUGUUUUUGCUAUAUUAGCAGCAAUGUCAAUACAAGGUUCAGCAAAUCCGCAAACCCAGUGGAAUAUUGUAAAGGGGAGUUUCAGCAAUUUGCCACAAGAAGAACUUAUAGAGUGGAUCAAAUAUAGUACUAAACCAGGUAAAAAAAAAAAAAAAA